UCACCGAACAAACCUAAUUCUUUCUCCUCUCUUCUCUCAACCUCUUCGAAUCUACAGUUUCCUCGACGCGGACUAUACCAGUGCGAAAUUUCGACAAAGUUUCGUGAAAACGUUCGCCCAGUUCUAAAGCAAGUAAUUUCAUAAUUGCCUAUUCGCGUCGUACCUGUUCGUACGUAAUUCGCAAUUCUCGUUUGGAUCAUCAAAACGUACGCGAUAUUCGCGAUAUCGUAGGAUUCGUUCGCUCGUAGGACACAAUUAUUACGGUACUUUGGUAUUCUUCUCGCAGCUUCUUUCUUACAGCUUCCUAGAUACAUCUUAUCUGCCAGGCCUGAAACUAGCUUGAAACUCGAGUGCCGGUUGGGAGAGAUAGCAGCGAAUUGUUUGGUCCCCCGAGUGAACUAGGAUGUGUAUAACGGUGGUUAGAAGUUGCCAGGAUGCUUCCAAAACGUCGAGGCGGGGGAAAGCAGCAAUUUCUGCUUCGACGUACCACGAAGAGAGCGGCUCGAAGUUGCGACUCGAAUUGAAUGACCGAUCCGGGACGUCGAGCAACUAGCUAGAAGUAGAAACGAAGAAGAAGCGAACGAGACAUCCGUGAUCCGUUGGACGAGAACGAACCGAGCUCUGGAGCCAGGGAAAACCUUAUUAUGCGUUUCCCCGGAACUCCCCGCUUUGCACGGAUCUUGUAAAGUGGCGAGGGUCGCGUCAACCGAAUAACCAGACCAUAAACCACCAGAGGCCAAGGCAGAAGGACGGGUCGAGCGGCAGGCCGACUGCUAGAACCCGUUUACGUCACCCGUAAACCGGCAUCCUGUGGAUUUCGACGAGCAAAUACACUCGUGGCUAUGGUGCCUCGUAAACUCAGUCAAGACGUGAGCUGACGCACCGCUUUCCUGACGUUUCUCCAAAGGUGAAUGCUCCUUACUUCUCCCUUUCCUUCUACCUUUCCUUCUAUCCUUCUCGUUGCUGACAGCAGCCGUUUUUUCAAUAACAUCGAUGUACAAACCUGGUCGACUCCUUUCGCCUUGCUUUCGCGUCGCAGGUUUCUCAACAAGCAGAAUCAGAGUUAACGAGAAACAAGUUAAUUCAGUUGGAACGUUUCUGCACGAACGUCCUACGAAUAGAGCGAGGCAAACUAUAGACUAUCAUUUCGAGCGGUAGAACACGAGCUACGGCCAGCUAAUGACAGCUAUUACCCAUAUGACAGUGAUGUAGUAAUGAAACCGCGAUUGACGAAUCUAAUUGUAGUAAUGCGUUUCAUAUUUUAUCGAGUGCAUGCGGUAUCGCGUAUGAAAUUUUGAUUUCCAAUAGUUGCCAGUGCAAUUGCACGUUGUCGACGUUUCAUUUUAUGCGAAACCAGGGUAUAUCGUAUAUCAUUGAAACCUACCAGAGGGCAAGGUUAAACGAGUGUAAGUAAUGCAACACGUUCGAUUCGUACGAUUUAUCGAUAAAUUGAUAAAUUAUUCAUUCAGUUGCGUCAUUACGUGUACGUGUAUACACCGUUCCGAUUUCCCGAAAUACUCUUUUCGAUAAUGUCUCGCGCAAAACGAAUUGUCUAGACGAAUCUUCAUGUUUCAGAAGCUUAUCUUUUUCCGCGAACCUUCUUCUAUUUUCGAGCAGUGUCUUAGCUUUUCGUAGAACUGUACGCUUCGUAAAUGACGUCCGUAACCGUACACUAAAUAAAUUAACCUAUAAGCUAGCUAGCUAAUACAGAAGUAGCUAUUUGAAGAAAUUAUUCGGGUUUCGUUUCCAUUGUGUCGUUUCUCAGCUUCUCGUUAUUGAUUUUACAUGGAAAAUAGUACUACCUAUGCGAAACAGUUGGAAUUUCUGUGAACUCUUUCACCGACGAAAAUAACUCGAAAAAAGGCAGAGGAAAAGGAGCGGUAAGAGUCGAGAGAGGCGGAUGGUGCUCGUUAUUUCGUCCUUGCGAAGAAUCUGCGAAGAACUCGAGCGACACGCGAAGUUGGUUAGCUCCGGUCCCGUUGUUAUCAGCGAAAAUUUUCUCCGGUAUAGCGUGCCCGUCCCCGCUAUGUUUCCCGACCGAAAGUCACGGCGUAUCGCGUCGCAAACGACGAACGAGAAGACAACCAGUUCAGUUGAAAUUUACAGUGGAGAAAGUGAUACGAAUUUCCAAGCACGGCCAGCGAGUUAAGUGCUUCAAAGCGGCUGCUAAUUAUCGCUGUAACGACACGGAUUGUAUCGCUAUCGCGGAUUCAAUUCGACACCGUCGCCACGCUCUUCUGGUAAAUUGAUACGAUCUUCCUUCAUCGAUCGAGAACGUCGAUGUUUGCGCUCUCCACCGAUGAUUACAUAAUAUAGAGUUCUGCCGAGCCACGAGGAUCAAAGUUCGUUCUUACUUUUUCCUCUAUCGACGUGAUUAAGUGAAAAUACUCUGGCUCGUGCCAAGUAACUGUGAAAUAACGGCGCACCUUAUCUCCAGGUAUACCUUUUUAAUUGUAAUUACUUAAUAAGUCAGGGGUAAUUUAAGAACGUGUCGUAAAGCGAGAUCGCAAUGAGAUGCGAAGAUUUGUUGUUGAUUGUAUCUAACGUUAGAGUGCGCGAGUUUGAAUCGGAAGGUAAGGAAAAACGCGAGUGCGGUUAACGUCGCAGUCAGUAAAGUCGCCCCGACGUUAUCUUAAGCUCGUUCGUUCUCGAGUUAUUCGAUCCUGGAAUUAAUUGGUAAUUGUUUAAUUGGUUAAAACGUAGAAGCCACGAUGGGAAACAAGGUUUACGGGAGUUGAGAGAUUCCAUAAAAUCGGGUUGCAGUUUUCAUCGUGACUGCGUCAUGUAAAGUUCCGGCCGCUUAGGGAAGAACGAAACACAGACGGUAUAUUUACAGUAAUAGUAGCGUGGCACGAGUUACUUCCGGACAGCAGUGGCGAUGUAGUGGCCGGCGGGCACGGCGAGUAUGGCAGGCAUCGCGAGCGCACACACGUUUCGCGUGUGUGGCAGAGUUAAAGGCGGGCCUGCGACUACGAGAGGUGAAAGGGUUGGCAGAAUCGAAAGGGAGUAAAAGAGCUGGAACGGUCGAUUUAGAGGAAACACGCGUCCGGUGUCGCGUGCGACCGCGGAUAUCUGAUACGAGCGAAACGCGAGCGUAAUUCUCUUCGACGCUGUCGCGUUAUUUAUAAAUCGUCCUGAACUGCCGCCGGUUAUUAUCACCGGCCGUUACAAUUUUUCACUGGCACUCCCUGCUCCAAACGUCCGCUUAACUAAUUACUAUUAAUUUAACGGGUCGGGCGUUCGUGCCCGUCGUAAUUUCCAUGCCGCGACAGCUACUGUUCGUGGAUUUCGAUUCCAGUUUCGAGCCUGGUGGACCCGAGUCCGCUCGGAUACGCGUCACCGACAAAAAACAGGAAAACAGGACAAAAAAAAAAAAGAAGAAAAAUAGAUAAGGCAAAGUGCAUGCUCGUUAAACGCGCGCGAUACGCGGACGAGCUGCUCUUUUGAUGCAGCUUCGCCACUUUGUUCGCGCUAACCAGUCAUUACGCUCUCUCUUGCCUGGCUCCGGUUGAGAAAAAUGCGCGACACCGGAUGCAUCCGUCUUCCCUCCUGCCUUCUUCCUCUCAUUCGACCACCAUCGGAUUAUUACACGCCCGUUAAAUCGUUGGUCAAGAGUUGUUUCGACGGAUGAGUUUUAAUAUUCCCCGAAUGUUUCCUCUGUUUCGCCGAUUCUUCUUUUUAC